GCGUAAAUUUGUGUAUGUAGCAGGGAAAUGAGGAUAUCAGGGAUUUCACGAAAUCCCUAGGGAUAUCACGAAAUCCCAGUAGAUGUCGAAUAUUCUUGUUUAUUACGUUUUCUUA